rnacentral:lncRNA from 1 species
AUGUUCUCGACGUUCAGUCGCUUGAGCAGCACGGCCGCAAUUUUUGUUUCGCGUGCGUUGUCACAAAGCACUGAAAGCACGAAUAAAUGACGCCUUCCACAAUUCCAAUUG